UAAUUCCUGCCAAAAUCAUCACAAGUUGUACGUCAUCAAGGCUGUCUUUGCACUCCCAGGAAGAAUUGUUAAUUUUAAAUAAAAGUGAUGAGAAUUCCUCCGGAGGUGGGAACAGAGAAAACUUCAUGCUUGGUAAAGCACCUGAGGCACCCAUUACAAUCUGGGACAAGAUGAGAACAUCAAUACUCACGCUGUAUUCCACAUGGGAGGUCCAAGUCAACGCAAGAUGAUUUUUAAGAGAUAUAAGAGCCAGGCAUGGUAGCUGAUACCUGUAAUCCCAGCACUUUGGGAGGCUGAGGUGGGAGGCUCACUUGAGUCCAGGAGAUCAAGACCAGCCUAGGCAACAAAGCAAGACCAAGACCCCUUCUCUACAAAAAAAUAAGAAAAUUAGCCUGGUGGGUGGUGCACACCUGUGGUUCCAGCUACGCUAGAAGCUGAAGGGGGAGGUUCACUUGAGCCCCAAGAUUGAGGCUGCAGUGAGCCACAAUAGCACCACCGCACUACAGCCUGGGUGACAGAGCAAGAGCCUGUCUCCAAAAAAAUAAAUAAAUAAAUAAAAGCUAUAAAUACUGCAAAGAGGCAAAA
rnacentral:lncRNA from 1 species